GACGAACGCUGGCGGCGUGCCUAAUACAUGCAAGUCGAACGCUUUGAUUUUCACCGGAGCUUGCUCCACCGAAAAUCAAAGAGUGGCGGACGGGUGAGUAACACGUGGGCAACCUGCCCAACAGAGGGGGAUAACACUUGGAAACAGGUGCUAAUACCGCAUAAUUCGUUUUUCCGCAUGGAAGAAUAAUAAAAGACGCUUCGGUGUCACUGUUGGAUGGCCCGCGCUGCAUUAGUUAGUUGGUGGGGUAACGGCCUACCAAGACCAUGAUGCAUAGCCGACCUGAGAGGGUGAUCGGCCACACUGGGACUGAGACACGGCCCAGACUCCUACGGGAGGCAGCAGUAGGGAAUCUUCGGCAAUGGACGAAAGUCUGACCGAGCAACGCCGCGUGAGUGAAGAAGGUUUUCGGAUCGUAAAACUCUGUUGUUAGAGAAGAACAAGUGAGAGAGUUACUGUUCUCACCUUGACGGUAUCUAACCAGAAAGCCACGGCUAACUACGUGCCAGCAGCCGCGGUAAUACGUAGGUGGCAAGCGUUGUCCGGAUUUAUUGGGCGUAAAGCGAGCGCAGGCGGUUUCUUAAGUCUGAUGUGAAAGCCCUCGGCUCAACCGAGGAAGGUCAUUGGAAACUGGGGAACUUGAGUGCAGAAGAGGAGAGUGGAAUUCCAUGUGUAGCGGUGAAAUGCGUAGAUAUAUGGAGGAACACCAGUGGCGAAGGCGACUCUCUGGUCUGUAACUGACGCUGAGGCUCGAAAGCGUGGGGAGCAAACAGG
rnacentral:rRNA from 1 species